AAGAAUGCGAUAUGCAAUGUGAAUUGCAGAACCAUGAAUCAUCGGAUCUUUGAACGCAACUGGCGCUGACCUAAAUCAGCAUACUUGUAUCAGUGUGCGCAAACAACUAAACCAUUUAAAUGUGAGAGAAGUUCUCUCAUUAAGUAAAUGCUCACUGCAGCAGUCACAUUUAUUUGUGAGCUGAAGUGCUGAUAAAAUGCCUUAUUUGCACCUGAUAUCAAGUAAGAUGACCCGCUGGACUUAA
rnacentral:misc_RNA from 1 species